rnacentral:rRNA from 1 species
UACGAAGGGUGCAAACGUUAUUCGGAAUCACUGGGCGUAAAGGGUGCGUAGGUGGCGCCGUAAGUCGGGUGUGAAAUUUCGGAGCUUAACUCCGAAACUGCAUUCGAUACUGCGGUGCUUGAGGACUGGAGAGGAGACUGGAAUUCAUGGUGUAGCAGUGAAAUGCGUAGAGAUCAUGAGGAAGACCAGUGGCGAAGGCGGGUCUCUGGACAGUUCCUGACACUGAGGCACGAAGGCCAGGGGAGCAAACGGG